UACGUAGGGAGCGAGCGUUGUCCGGAUUCAUUGGGCGUAAAGAGCUCGUAGGCGGCUUGGUAAGUCGGAUGUGAAACCUCCAGGCUCAACCUGGAGUCGCCAUCCGAUACUGCCAUGGCUAGAGUCCGGUAGGGGCCCACGGAAUUCCUGGUGUAGCGGUGAAAUGCGCAGAUAUCAGGAGGAACACCGAUGGCGAAGGCGACUUACUGGACACAUAUUGACGCUGAGGUGCGAAAGCGUGGGGAGCAAACAGG
rnacentral:rRNA from 1 species